CCGAGAGUUCUUACACAUUACCAAACAGAGUCAUGUGAAGGAGUUGUUAUAUCACUGGUUACUUAGAUACACCUCCAGAAUUUCUGAUUAUAUAGCCCAGAGUCACCCAUCAAGAAAUUCACUUCCUUGUCACCUUUCCAAGUGAAGAGCUGUUCAUUCCACCCUAAAGAGAAAGAAUAUGAGCAGAACAAGAAAGCACGCUGGAACAAGUUGUGUAUGUGAUCUUCACCUGGGAGAAUUCUCAUGGCAUGAACUUGCCGUGCAGCUGACUGCCGGGGAAUGAGGACUUCUCGCUGCCUAGGUUGCAGAUCCUAAAGCACUUUCAUGAAUGCUGGGACGGCUCUGCACUGAAAGUGAUGACCACACUAAACAAAGAAAACAAAACAACAGUACUGCUCCCAAAAGAAGGGAAUGCCUUCUCUUGUUUUAAAAUGAGACGAAAAUAAAGUUCCAACCAUCUGGCCUC